rnacentral:rRNA from 1 species
CACGAAAGUUUCUCUGUCUUAAAAAAAUACUUAAUGAAAUUGAAUUUGUAGUGAAGAUGCUACAUUAAAAUUGUAAGACGAGAAGUCCCCAUGGAGCUUUACUGAGGGCUUAGAGUUUGAUAUAAGCGGGACAGUUUUGUUGGGGCGACAGUUUUUUAAAAAGUAACAAAAACGAACUAUGGCUUAGCUUCACCCUGAAAAAUUUUUUAAGGGACAUUUUUGGUGUGUUUUAUGAUCCGUUGUUUGGAAUGAAAAAAACAACGAAAACA